rnacentral:rRNA from 1 species
CGUCUAUAUACGUAUAGCAUAUCAAUAAGCGGAGGAAAAGAAACUAACAAGGAUUCCCUUAGUAACGGCGAGUGAAGCGGGAAGAGCUCAAAUUUGAAAUCUUCAAGGUUCUACCUUGACGAAUUGUAGUUUAAAGAAGUGUUUUCUGUUAGAAGUGAGUACAAAGUUCCUUUGGAAUAGGGACAUCAUAGAGGGUGAGAAUCCCGUAUUUGACAUUAUUCUUUCUAGCUGUGUGAUACACUUUCAAAGAGUCGGAUUGUUUGGGAAUGCAGUCCAAAAUGGGUGGUAAAUUUCAUCUAAAGCUAAAUAUUGGCGAGAGACCGAUAGCGAACAAGUACCGUGAGGGAAAGAUGAAAAGAACUUUGAAAAGAGAGUUAAACAGUACGUGAAAUUGUCAAAAGGGAAGCGUUUGACACCAGUGUUGUUUUUCUCGAAAAUCAAUUAAGAGUGGCUUGAUUUUGUGUUGUAUUGACCUUAUCAGCUUUCUUCACUCUUUUUCGAGUCUUUCUUAAUGCACUUUUCGGUUAACAAGUCAACAUCAAUUUCUUUUGUUGUAAAAGGGUAUUUGGAAGGUGGCUUUCUUUUCGGAGAAAGGUGUUUAUAGCCUUAUACCUCUACAAUCGGAGAGAUUGAGGUCUGCAGCGUAGAUCCUUCGGGGCUAGAUACACUUGUGCUAAGUUAUAGCUUUUCAUAGACAACUUGUUGACUAUGUUUAGUCAUGUAGCUUACCCGCUUGUGCUAUUUUACCUACGCUUAGGAUGUUGAGUCAUCACACAUCUCU